CUAGCACUUUUCACAGGUCCUCCCUUCGUCAGUGGGGUCAGGAUUUGGUAGCUGGUGCUGAGAGAAAACCCUUGAUUACAUCCUUGCCCUGAUACUGUACCAGAGGCAGCUGUUACUCAAGGGAACAGAA
ensembl:snoRNA Snora30 small nucleolar RNA SNORA30/SNORA37 family